rnacentral:rRNA from 1 species
AGUGAACGCUGGCGGUAGGCCUAACACAUGCAAGUCGAACGGCAGCACAGUAAGAGCUUGCUCUUACGGGUGGCGAGUGGCGGACGGGUGAGGAAUACAUCGGAAUCUACUUUUUCGUGGGGGAGAACGUAGGGAAACUUACGCUAAUACCGCAUACGACCUACGGGUGAAAGCAGGGGAUCUUCGGACCUUGCGCGAUUGAAUGAGCCGAUGUCGGAUUAGCUAGUUGGCGGGGUAAAGGCCCACCAAGGCGACGAUCCGUAGCUGGUCUGAGAGGAUGAUCAGCCACACUGGAACUGAGACACGGUCCAGACUCCUACGGGAGGCAGCAGUGGGGAAUAUUGGACAAUGGGCGCAAGCCUGACCCAGCCAUACCGCGUGGGUGAAGAAGGCCUUCGGGUUGUAAAGCCCUUUUGUUGGGAAAGAAAAGCAGCAGGUUAAUACCCCGCUGUUCUGACGGUACCCAAAGAAUAAGCACCGGCUAACUUCGUG